AAGGCUUUAAGUUAAAUAAACUAAUAUCCUUCAAAGUUAUAAAUAAAGGGGCAAUUCUUUAAGCCUUA
rnacentral:tRNA from 1 species